UAAUAUAAAGUAUUUAGUGAUUUUUCUAGGUAAGUUUCUGUUAUUGAUUAUGACUUAAUCUAUGGUGGUCAGAGAAGAGAAUUUUACAUGAUUUUAAUUUUUAAAAAAUCGUUGAGGCUUGUUUUAUGACUCAGAACAUGGCCUAUCUUGGUGAACGUUCCAUAAGCAUGACCAACGAAUGUGUACUCAGCUGUUGUUGAUUAAAGUGUCCUCUAAAUAGCAAUUAGGUCAACUUAUUUAGUAGUGUUGAUCACUAAGUCUUACUGAUUUUCUGUCUACUUGUUCUGUCAGUUAUCGAGAGGAGUGUCAAAAUCUCCAGUUAUAAUUGUAUACUUAUCUAUUUUUUCUUUUUGUUCAAUCAGUUUAUACUUCAUGCAUUUUAAAGCUGUACUAAGUGCCUGCGCAUGUAGGAUUCUUAUGUCUUUUUGAUGAAUUGACCACUUUGUCAUUAUGCAAUGUCUCCCUUUAUCCCUGGUAAUAGUCCUUUUUUUCCUGAAAUCUGCUUUCUCUAAUAUUAAUGUAACUACUUCAGCUUUAUUUUGAGUAGGAAUUUCAUAGUGUAUCUUUUUUCUCCAUCCUUUUACUUUUAAUCAGUUUGUGUUUCCCUGUUUUUGGAGUAGGUUUCUUAUAGAUAGCAAAUAGUUGGGUCCUGUUUUGCAAUAUAAUCUGACAAUCUUAGCUACACUUGUACCACCAAGAGGGUCUCUCCCUGGUCUCCCGCCCUUUCUGCCAUCUUUCUUGUGAGCACUCUCUAGAGACCACCGGUAAAGAGCUUGCAGGUGAGUGCAAACUUGCCUUGUGUCUGGGGAGCCUACCUAUUCCACACUGACAAGCUAGCCCACACCGGCUUUUAAGAAUAUGUCAAAACCUUAGAUAAUGUCUUUCUACCCACUUUUACAGCAGCCACCUUUUCCUUCCUUACUCUGCCAAAGGUGAAGCCGCAUUUGCGUUCCUUCUCUCCUCGCGGGGCUUGUCACUCUUUGGAAUUCAGUUUGCUUGGUUGCCUUGUGACCUCGGCUCCUUGAUGGGUUCAAGAAAAGUUAGGAUUUUGUAGAUUAUCUGCCAUUUUCUCCUGUGGUUUUCUACUUCCUAAGUGAAAGCAGAAGCUUCCUGGAGGGUUUUAAGCAACAGAGUGAUGUUAUCUGAGGGACAUUUUUAAAAACUCCCUCUGGCUGCUUUGUGGAGAAUUCAUUUUAAGGGAAUAAGUGUGGAAGUGGGGAGACCAUGGAGGAGGCUGGCAAAACAGUUUAGUCACGAGAGAGUGGUGGCCUGGAGCAGGGUGGUGCCCGGGGAGAAGGAGGGGUUUGGGACAUGUUUUAGAAGUAGACUAAGAGGAUUGGAUGAUGGACUGAAUGAGUGGAGUGAGGGAAAGGGAGGACUCAAGGGGAACUCCUCCCCUUAGUGCGAGCAAUGGAACGAAUGCUGGUGUCAAAACUGAUGGGAAAACAGAUCUAGGGGGAAAGUCAAGAGUUCUGUGUUGAACAUGCGGCAGUAUCAAGUCAGAAGUUGGAUUCUCAAGUCCAAGGCUCAGAGGAGAGUUCUGGUCUGACGAUUUACCUGUGAGAGUUAACAGUGUAGGAAUUAUACUUAAAGUCUUGGGACUGGAUGGGGUUACCUAGGGAACAGAUGUAGAUAGACAAGAUCACCCAUUUGACAUAGGAUGGAGGAAGAGGAGGGAGCAUCAAGGAGACAGAGAAGCAAUGGCCAAGGACACAGAGGAAAGACUUAAAUGAUCCCUUGAAGGAAGAUUUUAAUCUAGAUUUGGUAGGAAUCCAUAAAUCACAAAAAUACUGUAUUUCAUUCAAGAGAAACUUGAAAUAAUAAAACUCUAUUAACUCUUUUAUUAGGUAAGUAAGACUGCCAACUGCUUCUGGAAUCUUUGGCCCAAGAUCUUUCAUUGAUACCAAGCAGAGGUCUGCCAAUUGCUGGGGUGGGCGCUGGAACCUCUCUCUUUCCAAGACCAACUGCAGAAAAAGGCUAAUAGGUUCUCGAAAGAAACCCUGCUCCAAGUUCCACAGGAUCAGACCGAGCCCUUCAUUUGGAGCUCAGUAACAAAGUUUCUUGCAGUUGCAUGCAGAGGUGUCUUACAGGAAAUUUUAUUAAGCUUUGCAGAUAUGUGCACAUGUCAGAGGUUUGAUGUUCCUCUAAAUAUUUGCAUCGCCUCCUCUCUCUGAGGCAGAUGCUUCUUGGUCUGGUGGGUCCUGGCAUCAUCACACAGAUUCCCUCUUUGGUCUUUGCAUGUGUUAUUGUGAAAUCUUCAGAGAAGACAUGCUCCAUUGAGGAAGAGAAAUGUGGCUAAAGGAGCACAUUCAUGAGGCUGAUCAGAUGUUUUUAUUGGUUGUGACCUUUCUACUUAACCCCGGGAAUGUGCUGAUUUUGAUUUUAAAAAUAAAUCAUAAAUCUCGCAUUUAUUUUAUUUGUCCUCUGAAUCACAUACAGACUUAGACUAUAUAAUAUGAUUUAGAAAGAGUUUGGAUUUGUUUUUCAGGCAGUUAAGAACAAUAUGAUGUCCCUCUCAAACUUUCGGAAUGACAGAAUGAGACAAGCUGUACAGAGGAAGGCGAAUUUUGGUCUGAGAGCACCAAACCAUUUAUUCUACUGCUGUUUUCCAGCAACUAUAAAAGGCCACCGUUUCAACAUGCACUUAGCAUGCUGCAAUCGGAUCCACGCGCCUGUCAAGAAAUGCUUUAGGAAUGAAUUCUGUUGGGCUCUAGAGCACUGCACACUUCCCAAAUGUUCACAUUUUCCUCCCCUAAGGCGCAUACAUUUGGAUGUUUGAAUCCAUCUUGAUCCUUAUCCCUCCCCUUGGCACCUAGAAUGUCAUUUUUCAGAUAAUUAUUUUUAGUCAGUUUGGGCAUCUCUGUCAUCUUGUGUCAUCUUAAGGACCUUGGUUCUUUCUGCUAACCCUAGGGAAUGCAUCCCCACACCAGCUAUAUUCCAAGAUGGCCCUGCUUCUCCCCGCUCUGUCCUUCCAUCCCUGCCCAGGAGGGGGAGCCACUGAUGCACCCCGCCCAAGUGCAACAUUGGCAGUGGAGCACCUGGGACCACCUGGGGAGGCAUUUUCCAUUUUCCUCUUCAAUAGAAUUAAGAUGCUUCCCCCAUUCUGUUUUGCAUUGCCUCUCUUGGUGUUUUAUUUUAUUUGUUUUGGUUUAUUUAGGAUUUUUUUCUUAAUUUCAGAGACUAUAUGAAUAAUUAGAAGCAAGUUGUGAUCACUAGCAAAGUUUUAUCACCUGACUCUGCUUCUAAGUGUGUUAGCUGAAGACAAUUAAUAUGAAGGUAGCCUGAAUUUAAAAGAAAAAAGGGUUUUGGUUUUUAUGGAACUCAGAUGUCCAGAUGGGUGGGGGUGGGGAGGGCAAUUUCCCUGCCCCUUCACUUAAGAGUUCCUUGAGUUUGGCUUGAACGAUUGCUCUCCCCAAAGUUGUGCAAAUUCCUGGGGAGGCAGAAGGAAGGCUCAUUCUCGUGGAGUCUUCAGGCUCCACAUUCCUGCUUCUCCUGAACUGAUUCGGGUUGAGGGUCAUCUUGCCAUCUUCAGGCAUUAUUUUUGUUCUGUGCUAUGACAACCCAGACAUGGAACUUAGCCUCUUCCUUUGCCUCACACACGUACACACACAAAUACACACAAACCACUCGGACAAGGCGUGCGGGUGCGUUGCAGACUAAAUGUGUUUGAGAAAAUGGAGUGGAGGAAGACUUCACAGCAGCGCAACUUCACAUUUAAUAUUAGACAUCUGGUUGUAUUAGCGUAUAGAGAGAGAGAAAGAGAAAGAGAGAGAGAGAUUUAUUUUAAAGAGUUGGCUCGUGUGAUUAUGGAGGCUGGCAAGUCCAAAACCUGCAGUUUAAGUCUGAAGCUCACCAGACUGGAGACCCAGGAAAGAGCUGACCUUGCAGUUCAAGUCAAAAGACUGCCUGCUGGCAGAAUUCCCUCUGCUGGGGUGGGGGAGCUGGGGUCUCAGGCUUUUGUUGUAGACAGAUCUUCAACUGAUUGAAUGAGGCCCACCCACAUUAUGGAGGGCAACUGCGUUACCCAAAGUCCGCUGAUUUUAACCUUAAUCUAUGCCAAACACCAUCACAGAAACAUUCAGAAUAAUAUUUGACCACAUUUCUGGGAACCCCAUGGCUCAGCCAAGUUGACACAUAAAAUUAUCCCUCACCUCAGUGUUUAAAAGUCUUUUCCUACUGCACUGAGCUGCCCAGCAACCCCAGUCUCCCUGCUCUUUUCCCACCCCCAGUGCCUGCUUAUUUCUAGCACUGUCAAGUUUCACUACUUGUCUUACCUGGUUGACUCUUGAGGGUCCCAUCUUCCAUCCCCAAGUGGCAUAUCAGUGUGUUUUCCUGAACAGAAUUAGUUUCCUCACUAAGAGUCCUUGGUCCAACUGUUAAGAUGUUUGUUUCCCCCACUCUGUUACAUCCUUAAUAAUGCUGGCAAUUUAAAAAUCUUUGAGGGUGUUCUGUGUUAAAGAAACUGAACAAUCACUUGCAUUUAAUAAAACUAUAACAAUUUAUAUUAUAAAAGGACUAAUUGUAAAGAGUCUAUUAAAAAGGAAAAUUCCCUUGUGCCUUUAAAACAUGAUCGCGUAUAAAGUUUGCUUUCCCUGUGAUCUCUCCAGACACUCUGAUAACGAGAAGGCAGACACGACUAGAGUUUGCUCCUUAUUGAGCCAGAGCUCACUGCGUGCAGCCUAGAAAGCGGGAAUGCCCAGUCGGACUGUGCUUCUGCCUGGGUUGGUGUGGCCUCAUGCUCACAGCUAAAAAUGCCUCGUUCCUGGCCGACUCUAGAGUGGCUGAGAACAGCAAAUACUUAGAGACAGAGAAGAUUUUUUCUAUGAUUUUGUUUUUACCACUAAGAUUAGCAUGUAUUUAUUAAAGUGAUAAUCAGCUAACAUUUUUGAGCACCUGCUAUGUUGCAGGGCCCUCUGUUAAGCGCAGUAUAUGCCUUACCUCGCUUGAUUUUUACAAAUCCCUCUCAUGAGGUGCUCUUGUCACUUCAUUUUAUAGAUGAGGAAGUGGAGAUUUGACUACUGUUUGUAAGGUCACACAGCUGACCCUCCUGAGGGAUUUGCAUCCAAAAGAACCUGACUCCAAGCUUAGCCAGCAUGCCAGGCUCUGUCUGAUCACGUGCUGGAUGUUCUGCUGGAUGCCUCCUGCAGCAAACGGGUUGGUUUUGUUAGAUCUUAGCCAUUCAUCACAUUACAUACUUAGCCACAUCACAGCAUUUUACGAUAAAAUUAAGAAUCCCUUUUUUCCUCAAUUCCUUGUUGCAAAUCAAAUUUUAGAGUAUGGGAGGGAGGCCCUGGGGGCACUUAGCUUCUUAAGGCUGUAGCCUACAGAGUCUUGUGGAACAAAAUUCUGGCUCAUUCUUCAGUGAUGCAGCUUGGGACCAGUGUUGGUAUCAACGUGGUGUUGUUACGUGGCAAAAGCCGAGGCGUCAUCCUCUAACUGCCACCUGCUCUGAUGUCUCAGGGGGUGUUGUCUGUCUUGUUCUGAGUGACUUUUAGAAAUGAGGAUUCUUGGACAACUCCCUGAGAAGUUAUUCCAGAAUCUUAGAACAAGCAAAGUCAGGAAGAAUAGCAGAAUGUAAGACAGAACAACAAGAACAUUCUGAAUUUCCCUCCAGGCAGGGCUGGGAACAAUAUCCAUAACAUCUCUGGAGAGAAGAAAAAUGAGAACUGUCACUUGCUCUCUCUCUCAUCACCCCUGCAGGAAGGGGAACACGGCCAUUCAGCUGCAAUGCCACGGAGCUCCUCCUGAGCUCUCGGGAGAACAAGAGGACGUGUCUGUUUAAUGCAUUGUACAGAAAGCAGUGAGGCUGGAAGUGAAUGAUCCCACCCAAAGGGACAGAGAGCAGCCCUCCACUGCCCCGGUGAUAGAACGCUGGCCAUCAUGGGGGUGGGGACCUGGACGCAUGGGACGGAGAAGUUCAGCAACAGCAGCAGCACACUAAAUACCAUUUCCUACAAGGAGCACAGGUGGCCGGAGAGUGCAGGGCACGUUGAAGGGCAAGCCCACCUUCGACUCAGUGCUUAGGAGACUCUGACCAAGUGCAAGCAGAGGCAGAGAGCGCUGCUGCCGCCCUGACGCUGUAGCACACACAGCAGCCCAAGGAAGGAGGGAGGCCACGAGGGCCCAGCUGGACCACACUACUCCCUUCUUCGUGCGGACGUUAGCGAGGGAGGUGAAUGGCCGUGUGGGCAUCAUUUACAUGUAAAACUUGCUCUUCAUCAUUUCUUUUCUUUGUUAUCCAAAUAAUAGACAGGGAUUGUGAAGGAGAGAAAGCAAGAAGGAAGGAAGGAGGGAAGAAAGGAAGGAAGGAAGGAAGGAAGGGAGGAAGGGAAAAGAAAGAGAAGGAAAGAAAAGAAAGGUAAGAACAAGAUGAGGGGUACCAUGGGGGAAACUGCAACUUCCUCUGAAUCUAUAAUCAUUUCCAAAAAAAAAUAAAGGAAUGAGGAAAUCCCAUAAUUCCACCCUGCAGAAAUCGCCAUCGUUAAUAUUGUUGCACGCAUCUUUGGUUACAUGUGCGUGUCUGUAUAAUUCAUUGUGAUUAACAAAGCACAAUAAAUUGAAUGAGAGGGAACUACAGAGUAGGAGUGAGUCAUUCUCAUCAAAUGUUUUGCAUCCUUAUAAAGUUUCCACAAUUCCUCCACGUAAAGCUAUGUUAAGCUCUGGAUUGAGAGGACCCUACCCGACAUUAGAGUAAGGUUCUGUUGUUUCAAAUGGACAAAACCCCUGGAAGCAACCUACUUCUAGAAUUCUGCCUUAAAAGUGUUUACUUCUCCCUGGGUAGACUAUCCAUCUCAGUUUCCCUCAGAAAAGAUCCCUGUGUUGAGGGCUUCAGAACCUUGCCAUUUACGUAGGCAACAGUCCUUAUAGAAGAGUGAGUAGUACAGCCGAUGAAGAAUGACAUAGCAGAAUAAUAGGAUAUAGAAAGAGAUUUAAGAGAAGUCCACAUCCUGAACACAGAAGAUGAAAAGGAAGGAAAUAUGGUGAAGGGUGUAUGGUACACGCCUAAAAUUAAGCCCAAUAUUAUGUGCUGUCUUGAAAUCUGAAUCCAGAAGGGCCUUGAAUGGCGUAACCACAAGUUCCCCUCCCUACUCUGCUCCCAUGGAUAAGAUGCCGUAGCCACACAACCCUCCAUAUCACAGGGACCAAGCACAGUGCCUGCUUAUCCCUGAAUCCUGGGCUUCAGUUCCCUGCCAGCCCACAGAAUUAUUCAAACAAGCCAACUCCAUCCUCCCUUGGGAACCAGGGUGCACUCCACCCUUUUGAUACUACGAAACCUGCUUCCCCAGCCCCUCGGUUCCUGACUGCAACCCUGCAUGGCUUUGUGCGGCAUCCAGGUCCUCCUGCCCUAGGCUUUGAGCAUGUGUGACUAAUAAACUGCUGUUCAUCUCAUCUGCCCAGUGUCACUGUCGAGUGUUUGGCCAUCCCCCAAAGCCGAGGGUGGGACUCCCUCCUUCACCAACAGGGUGAAGAGGAGGCAAUCAAAACAGGGUGGGGUGCUGAGUCAGGAGUCACAGCCUUGCCCAACCAAGGAGCCAUGUGGCCUUGGGCAAAGUGCUUGUCUGUUUGUGAAGUCCUAAGUCACAAAACAGAAGCUGUUAGAGCUGGUUGAGUCAAUUCUGUUUGCUUGAUUUACUUACAUUUCCUGCCUUUGUCAGUAAAUGUCAGCAAGCAGGGUUUGCCUUGCACGGGUUGCUCUGCCAGUGUGGGAGGAACUCCCCCCCAGGGCAGGCCACUGGCUGCAGGGUGGGCACCUUGAAGGGUUGGGCUUCAGAGCUGGGAGUGACACGAAUAUGUCAGGACCGCAAGAGGAAGGAAACUCCUUAUCUCUGAGCCUUCCUGUCUUCUUCUUACUGAGGUUUUUCCACAUUAAAAGUGUAAAAGGGCAUAAGCGCAAGCAUGCUUUUGAGAUCUAGGCAUAUUUGAGUAAUUCGGAACAGGCGUUUUAUAUCCAAAGGGGCAGAGAAAAAGAAAGGCUAAGAAAACAAGCUACUGAGAUUAUCUUUCCUUCAAGAACCAAAGGAAUGAGAGUAAAUAAAUUCAUUAAAGAAGAAAGUGUCCUCUGCUAUGUUUUGGCAUCAUCAUUCUUAUCUGUCCUUUCAAAGACCUUUGUUCUUAUAGUAACAGAACUUCAUACUUCUUUGGGUGUUUGGAGGGAGGUUUCCCUCUGGUUGUUGACAAUCGUCCCACAAUAUGUAGCAGCUACUUCAUAUUUAUGGAACAUAGGAGGAGGCAGUGCAGACAUUAUUAUUCUCAGAUACCAGGUAAGUUAAUGGUAUAAACAGCAAUGGGCUGAGACCUCCUGUUCCUUGUUACCAUCCUACAACAAGGGAUGCACAUGGUGUGAAAUCCCUCUUAGCAAGCCUGCCAUCUCUCUGUUUAGACAGUGCUGAUCGCUGCUGCCCUCAGAGACAGCAGACAAGAGAUGUCAAUGGGAGAAGAAGCCAGCUGGUACUCAGGCAGGGCCUCACAGACUGGUGGUGCCUUGGGAAGGGUUACAUAGUUCAGGAGAGGGUCUAAAUGUGCAAUUCCAGAAAAUGUGCAGGCCAAGGGGAGUAACUCCUGCUCAGCAAACUCGCAAAGACCGACCUGUAAGCCAGACUUCUAACUUGUCAGGCCACGGUGAGAUCCUUAACUGCCGAGCGGCAUGGAUGUCUGUGUCAACUGUCCAAUUUUAAGAUGCACCUUCCCCCCUCAUGUUUUAACAUCCCUGACACAAGGAUUCAUUUUGCAACCAGACAGCAGCUCUGCCCUAGUUGCUGUUGCCUGCAAAUGGAUGAAUUUGCUUGUUAUUUCUUGAGACAUGCCUGGAAAAUUGCAGCCAUUGAUGCUUCAGUCAACAAACCAGGGAAGACCUCUUGGGAGAAAGAAUACGAGUCAUGAUUCUUGUCUGAAAACUUCUGUUGAUGUCUAUCUGGUAAGAUCAAGAAAGCGCUGGAAUCUAAACCCUCAGAAUUGGGGUUGGCAGCUUGAGAAAAGCUUGGAAGAAAAUCUGAGUGGAUUUCUUAGAGCACUCUUUUUUUUUCCUCGUAACAUUUUAUUUAGAAAACUUUUAAACCUACAGAAAAGUUAAAAAAUAGUUCAGUGAAGACCUAGACAUCCUUCCCCUAGAUUUUGCUAUGGAUAUCGUUUGGGGAUGUUUGCCUUACCUCUCUUUCUCUGUCUCUCUGAUUUUUUGGGUGUUUUUGUUUGUUUGCGGGAUCAUUUUGAAAGUGAUCUGCAAAUAAUGUGACACUUCACUCCUAAAUAUUUUUAAGAACAAGGACAUUCUUCUAGAUGAUCACAUGGUAUUAUCUCACCCAAGAAAGUUAACGUUGAUGUCCUAAUAUCAUCUGAUAUAUAGCCCAUAUUCAAAUUUCUAGUAGAACAAAUAUACGUAUGUUUUAUUCUCUUUUAAGAAAUGCUGCACCUCAUUGAACGAAGAGGAUGCUAUCAUGGAGGAAAAAACAUAGACAUCAAUGUCUCUGAGUUUAAAAUGAUUCAGAAGAAUCAGAGACUGAAUAUGAAGAAGUCUUAGGAAGUACUUUCACCAUUUUAUUUCUCUUACAUUUUUCUUUUCAUGUACGGACAGACUUGAUGUACGAUAACAUCUGUAUCUAGAUAAGUCUCAAAUCAUCUAAAGGAUUAAAAGCUGACAGGAUAAGAAAGCGUGUUGUAGUGUAAUUGGCAUAAUUGCUUUUUCUUUGCGGUACAUAAAAUAAUGGUGCACCUGAUAUUUGGUGAAAUACUUAGGCAUUUGGAGCUUCGGAGCCAAGAAGAAAACGUGCCAGUACAUGAACUCUGCUGAGCGUCCUGAGUGCGACUGUUUACACACCUGAUGCCUGGUGGUCGGGUCAGGCCCACUCCCUAUUCUGGAGCCAUUGGGCUGGAGACAGCCUGACCGGCUCUCCCUCCCUGUUCCCCUUUCAGGACUCCAGGCUGUCCUCCCCAGCUCCUGCCUGUGGUCAAGUUCUUCCUUCAGCCCAGUUACAACACAAUUAAUUUAAGUUCUGCUUUCUCUCCAAAUGGACCAGGUGUUCCCAAGUUGCCUCAAUCUGAGCUCUUCUCUUGGUGCCUCUCUCAACUUUCACAGCUAGCUAAUUAUGACCAUUUCUAGUUUAUUCUUCCCCGUUCUGCUCUAGCAGAGCAAUCGGAUUUUUGCUUUCUGGGCUCACCUUCCUUGUUACCUUCUAAGCGCUCGCUUCCAGCACACCUCUGCCCAGCUGUCCUGGCUUCCCCUCUGUGUGUAAGAAGUAUUGUUGAAGUUAGCUUGUCCCACCCCAGCCUUCCUGGCACACAGGCCCGGGGAAGUCCUGCACCAGCGGCAUCUGGCCCUCUUUUCAGGGAAAAUCUCAAAAAGGUGCCAUUAGAGGGGGUCUUAUUGGGACCUACGGAGCUGCUGAACCAAAUUCCACCAUUUAAGUGCAGAAAUGCUUGCUUUCACUGGGCAAAAUAAUAUUUAAUACAGUCAUUUAACUAAAACAUAUUUUAACUAGUUGUGGUGGGCUGUAUAGCUAUAGUUUUUGGUUUUCUUGUGAAUUUUCUCUACCCUCCCUGCCCGCCCCCACCCCUGGCCAUGAAGGCAUGGGUACAUAGCCUGGGCCAAGCCAACUGGAGAAUUCCAGUCUCCUGGAGCCUGACCCACUGGCUCUAAUUGAAACCCUCCUGUGAGAAUCAGUCAUGUUCUCAAGAUGGUGCGAGAGAGAAGCUCUCUUCUCAGAGGCGUUGCUGUGUUUGGACUAUGUAUGUCUGGAGAUGCCAGUAUCAUCUGCCUUUCCACUGAGAGAAAGAGAAAAAAAUCUUUCUUCAGAAUACAGGCAAGAAUAGAGAGACGGAUGAAAACAGGCAGAGAUGAGAAACAGAAAGAGGGGCCUGGUGGUGCUAGGUCCUCCAUCCCUGAAGUCUGGUUUCUAUAGAAACUCUUCCCUUGAUACUGCGAGGUUGGUUCCGUCCCUCUUUUUUUAACCUAGUUUUGUUUGUAUUUCUACAUUUUGCAACCAAAAGCAUCCCAACAAAUGUAACAGUUGCCUCCAUUCACCAAGUUACACAAUGGCCCCUGCGCACAUGCCAAGGACACUUGGCUGCAACUUUUACUUGACCAUGACACUGUACUUUCCUUCUGUUUCGAAGUUUUUGCUCACCAAAUACAUUUACUUUUGAACAACUGAAAAGACCAAAGGGAACUCUGCUCCUGGCCAGUGUUCUUUCUAUUUUACCACUGCUGUGAUUGGUGCCCUCCUAGACACGCACACAAGCCACACACACACACAACACACACACACAACACACACACACACUCACACCACACAUACCAGGUCUAGAUCAAAGAUUUCAACUCAAAUAAUUACAGGGGUGAGGCAGGUAAUGUCAAGUGAACGAGGAGGGCCGGGUGCUCUGGUAAUACAAUAGGGAGUGGAAGGGCUGCAGCAGACUGGAGGGAGCGUGCUCCACCUAAAGGCAGCCGGAUUCAAAUUACAGCAGCAGCAGCAGCCGGCGUGGCCACAGUGAACACGUCUGUGGUUGGCCCUGCAGGCUGCUGUGUGGCGAUUCCUGGCCUCCAGUGUAUCUACUUGCCUUCCUUUCUUUGUCAGGGAGCAUUUGGGUGUGAAGAACAGAGUUCCACCGGAGCUAGCUCAAGUAAAGGGCCGUUGCAUACAAGUUUGUAACAGAUAGUAGCUUGGACACAAGACCCAAAGUAUAAGCAAGUCUCAUGGGACAGGAGUGAGCCCUAUUGGGAGCCAGAGAUACUCUCUAUUUCUGAUUCCUGUCUCUAUCUUGAGGACUUGCCAGUCUUGAGAGAGAGUUGACUCAUGGCUGGCCAGUGAACCAGACAUGCAUUCCUUGUCUAAUAGGUAUACAGACGGUGCCUGACUUACCACGGUUCAACUGAAGAUGUUUUGACUUUACAAUGGUGCAAAAGCGAUACGCAUUCAGUAGAAACUGUACUUUGAAUUUUGAAUUUUGGUCUUUCCCUGGACUAGCGAUAUGUGGUAGGAUGCUGUCUCAUGAUGCUGGGCAGUGGCAGCAAGCCACAGCUCCCGGUCAGUCACGUGAUCAUGAGGAUUAAACAACCAACAUACUUACAACCAUUCUGUACCCGCAUAGCCAUUCUGUUUUCACCUUCAGUACAGUAGUCAAUAAGUUACAUGAGAUAUUCAACACUUUAUUAUAAGAUAGGCUUUGUGUUAAAUGAUUUUCCCAAGUGUAGGCUAAUAUAAAUGUUCUGAGCACGUUUAAGGUGGGCUAGGCUAAGCUACGAGGUUUAGUAGGUUAGGUGUGUUAAAUGCAUUUCCAACAACGAUAUCUUCAGCUCAGGAUGAGUCUGUCAGGAUGUAACCCCACCAUAAGUCAAGAAAGGUCUGUAUGUUGGAGAUGGGGUCAUGUCCAUGGACCAUCUAAGCUCAUGUCUUCAGCAGAGGCUGUGGAUGGGGGCAGACCAUUCAACCUGCCUUGUACAAUGGCGUUGCCCCCCAAACAUUAUCAACUCCAAAAUUAGUUCAGAUUCAGGGAAUUUGUUAACUUUGCAUAUUUUCUUUUAAUUUUUUUCAGUCUGAUAGAAGAUAGGGACUUUUAAUAGGGUGUAUGUGUGAGUCAACAAAAAUAUCUGGAAUACGAUAACUGAGUUAGGAAAGCUUUAUUGCUCAUACAGUUUGCAAACCGGGGAGACAGGGCCUUUGGCAGCAAAUGGAAAGAACAUUCCUGGGAGAACAAAGACAAGGGACUGCCUUUGUAGAAAAAGUUCCCGCACAGGUUCCCACUCAGGUCCUCUUAUUCAAAUGAAGGAUGCAAGCCAGGUCAAUCCUGACUGGUUGGCGCAGGCCACAGUUUUAUUGAUUAGGUCCAAGCGGCUGUUAGGGGCUUUUGUAAAAAACAGGAACUUCUGCAGAGUCAAAGCUUAAGAGUAGAUUCAGUGGUUUUUCUGAGAACAGAGUACGUGACUGCAUCCCUGUCAUGAUCUUGUCGUGGCCACUUGACUCCAUUUUGUUCAUAAGUCCUGGUUAGCCACACAGAGCCCUUCUGGUUCCCAGGGGUCUUUUUGAUUUCAUUUUAUUCCCCAUAUAUGUAUCUACAGUUAGUCAUUAGUGAACAUUCUUCUGGACUUAAAUUGGGUCAGCGCUUACAGGGUCUUUUCUUUGGUUGCUUGCUGAUUAUCCAUCUCUCUUUCCAACUCUUCUCUUCCUCUUAUCCCUGCAACAGUCCUGCCUCAUACUCUGCAUAGAUUAGUAUGAAAUGUCUAUUGUCUUCUACCGUGGGGCAACCCUGAAUAUCAUCUCCUAAUUAAUCUUUUCAAAGUGCCAUUGCUGUUAUAUUACUCUUCUCUGGGGAACCUGCUGUGGUUCCCCACUGGUUUUCAAUCCUGGAAAAAUUUAUUAACUUCUCUGAAGCUUGCACCUUAUUGUAAAAAGGUACAAAAAUACCAGCCUUGCAGGGCUGUGGUCAGGGCUAGAGGUGAAGUCCAAAAAUGCCCGGAGCAGUGUCUGGCAAAGCGUCAAUGCUCAAUAAAUAUUUGUUUGUAUCUCACAUUUUGGCUGAGUCUACACCAUUUCUACACUGUUUCCUGAGUCUAUACCAUUUCCACAGAGUCCUCCAGCUCCUUGAGAACAUCCUCUUGCUUUUCCUAUAUUGUCUACAGCCCCCAGAGCCUCUAGGUCAACCAUUCUGGUACCCAGUACACACUCAGUGAGGCUUGUGCAAUGAACUGGGAAAAUGGUCAGACUGGCACCUAGGAGAUGCAGCAGGCGGCCCAGUGGCCUCAAAACAGGUCACUGCCCUCGUGCUUGGCUCUUCACAGCCACCAGCGUGGAGCCUGUUGUUUCCAGCACCUACAGGUUGCUUCUUAGGCUCUUGUAAUGGGCUCCGAAUUUUCCUGACUCUGCUCGGGGUGCUUCUGUGACACCUUCUAUGGACUUGUCACUCCAGGAUGAGGACUUACGGACUCUAUAACUCUCUUCCCCAAGACAGGACUAGGAAACUGCAUGGUGGGAGAUUAAAUAAGAGUCAGUAAACCACUGACAAGUCUGAGUUUGCAUCCACAAAUCUCAGACGUGGUCUGGCUCCCUGGGUACAAGAGUGUGUCAUUAGCCGCCUUUGGUUCCCAGGAGCAGAAGUGCACUCACUUGAGUAACAGGGCAUUGUUGUCAAGAUACCGUAGAAAUAAGAACAAAGGGACCUCUGCCAAAGGGCCAGCCUUAAGAGCACCUGUGAAGAGCUGGGGCUCACCCAGAAUGGAUGUGGUUUGGGAAUGGAAAGUUCUAGUGGUUAGGUUCUGCUGACACUUCAGCAGCAUGAGCACCUCAUUACCAUGUCUGCAUCAUCUCUGUCUUUGUUUUUACAAUUUUUUCAACUUCUGCUCCUUUAACCACUGCUCAACCCUCUUUUUAUGUCUCCUGUUCAAACCCCUCAGGAUAGGAUUUGAUUAAUCUACAAUGUCAGUCCUGCUGGGCAGUUUUGCCCCAAACCACACCCCAGGUGACAUCUUAGGUCCUGGAUAGAUUGCUUCAGAUCAGGUGUCUGCUCUGGUCCAGUAAGAUGUGGCCAGGGUGGUGGGGUCACAGGCAAUGGUAAGGCACCUCCAGGGAAGACCCUUUGGGAGCACUGAGGGUGUGUGGAUCUCAGGAGGUUUUGCUGCCUCAGUUUCUCUCUUCCUUGUUUCUCUCUUCCCAUAAAAGACAUCAAAUAAUAGUCAAUGUUCAUGGGAUUUUUUCCCAUAAUGUUUUCUAUUUUAGCUGGGGAAAGAAGCUAUUUCUUUUUUUGAAAACAUCCUGAAUUUUACUCCUUCCUGCUUCAAUUCCUUCUCCACUGCUAAAGUUCUCUUUGUAAAUGCCUAUUAAAUCACAUCAAGAUAAAAUCUUUCAGUGGCUUUCCAUUACAACUUCAGGCUGAAAUCUUAGCUCCUUAGCACAGCAGUCCAGACCCUAAUGAGCCAGCUGCAACCUGUCUCAUUGGUCUCAUCUCCUCCUCUUCCAUUCCACACUCCUCCAUGCCCCAUAGUAUACACACACACACACACACACACACGCACUCAAUGUGCAUACAGACACAUAUGCUCUAACCAUGUCCAAAUUUUGCAGUCCCCUGAAUUUAUUAUAGUCUCCCAUGCUUGGAGGCCUUUCUGCAACAUGUUUCUCUCUCUCUUCUGAUUAACUCCUACUCACCCUUUGGGAUUCAGCGUCAAGUCUCUUAGCAAAAUCUUCCUCUCCCCUCCAGAGUUGACACGGAUGCCCUCUGUCAUGCACCCAUGGCAUAUGACCCCACCUAGAGCAACUUACCACUCUGCUUUGUAAACGUUGAUGGACUUAUUUAUUUUCUCUGCUGGAUGACAAACUCACCAGGGACAAGAGACUAUAUUUUAUUCAUUGGCGUAUCUUCACAUUUUGUUAGAGCUCAAAAAUUUUUUGAAUGAAUGAAUUUCCUCCCAAAUGGGUUUGUGUUGCAUAAGCAAUGGAAUGAAGUUAAGAACACGAGCUGAGCUUUAGCAUCUUGAAUUCUAGCGCUGUCACUCACUAACUGAUUGACCUUGACUUCUCCGGGGCCCGCAUUCUUUGUUGGGUGGGGUGAGGGGUGUGUGGUCUGAUGUCCUGCUCUCCCAGCUCUAAACUCUCAAAGACCUGUGUCUACGUAGGGCCAUUAGAGGAUGUAAAUGGAGCUUCCCGGCUCAGGACAGCUAGUCACCAAAGAGAUGGUGCAAGAGAUUCCUGCCUCCUGCAAACCUCUGCAGUAGAAACGGGACUGUUCAGUAGCUCCUUCUCCUUUGGCAUUUUUAUGACGUGAUGACUUGACUCAGUUUAUCUUCUCUAAUUGGCUUUUAAGAAGAACAAGCCUUGCACUCUGUGAUUUGGGAACUAACAAAAAGAGAAAGAAAUAAGAAUCUGCCUACAUGUCUAGACAUUCUCCCUGUACUAUAGCUCUCACUCCAUGCUCCUUUUUUUUUUUUUAGCUUUUAUUUGGAAAUAUUUCUAGAUCUUUCCUACCUGAAUCCUUUUCUUGAUUUGGAAUGUUCUCUCCAUCAACAAUUAAGUGUUCUUGGACAAAUAGUGUCCCACAGACUUUAUUCUUUCUCAUAAUAGUGUAAAUUUUUGAAGGACCGCGAAAUAAGAGGAUCACCCAAAGAACAUGGGGUCUGGACGAGACACAGCUACGCUCACCCAUUGUCACCCUAUGGGUUAGCACGUCUGUUGCUAGAAUGUGUUGAACUGAGGCCCAAGCAAGUGAUUUCAGUUAGUUGUUGAUUCCAAACCCAUUGUCUUUCAAGUUUAAUAUUGGCCCGCCUGGUCGCUGUGGCCAAGAACUGUGAGUAGAAAAUAAAGACGAGGUGGAUUAUUGGCCUCCAAGCACCCUUCAGAGGCAAACCUUGCCUUUGAUUGGGUCUUUAUGUGGAUACUCUCCCGUUAUGGUGUUCAAUGCCCUUGCCCCGCAUGCCAGAGCUGAGUUAUGGCGGGGGAGUGUUUACGCGCCUUCUGGGGAUAAGCUUUUAAUCACCUACAAAGAGCAGUUGGCCUCCUCUAAAAACUCUUCAAUAAAAUGAGACUCAGCCCUCAGUCGGCUCAGCCCUUGUCAGCCCCAGGCCUUCUUGUGCCAAGAGGCACUGAAGCCAGAAAGAGAGGUCAAAAAGUUAUUAAGCGUUGGCACGUCUUGCUGGCUGGCUUGUUUGGUAUAUCCUUAUUAAAACAUAGGUGAAUGUUGGCUGGCUUCUUUCUGGCUUUUAUAAAUACCAUCGCGCCCAUUUUCAUUCCUUUCUUCUCUGCCUUCUUCUGCAAAGGCGCCUGUGAGGGAGGAUGGACAAGCUGAAUUCAUCUGUAGAGCUGUCAGCUUAUGAGAGGGAUUCCCGGUGUCUCAGACGAUUAGUGCUGAGGAUGCACAUCAAGGGGGUGGGGUUAUGAGAUCACCCAGGAGCUGGCCAGAUGGACAGAGCAGUUAGGGCUAAACCCUCCCCUGGAAUCCAGCUCCUCCGAGAGGGCUUCAGACGGCGGCUGAGCUCUGUGUCCACUAGAUGGCACAGUGACACUGGGCACGCACACAUCAUGGCGGCCUCUGGGGCUCCCGCAGUCACUGUUUCUGCUUGGUCUUCCCCGAACAAAAGGUGGAGGAUAGUUAAGGCAGGGAGCUGAGGAUAAACUCCAUGAACAUGUAUAUUUUGGAUUGGUUUCUCUAAAUCUUCAUAUAUGCUUCGUGAAAAUUGCGUGGACUUUGUGAAACUCUGGACAAUAAUUAACGAUGAGAAAUCGUAGAAACACAAAAAUGCUUGACAAUGUAAGAGAAAUGCUAUUUAAAGUGGAUCUAACCAUCUUUGACAGUUGGAAAAUGUAUCCUAAUAUUUGGGGAAAAUUUAUGUCUUCAGGAGCUCUUAUGUUAUGCCAAGUAUUGUCGUAAGUACUUUGUCUGCAUUAAUUCAUUUAAUCCUUAUAAUAACUUACAAAGUAAGUGCUAUUAACAUACUAAUUUUGCAGACCGGAAAAUUGAGAUACAGAGGGGUUAAGUUACUUGCCUAAAGUCACAGAGCUGAUAAGUGCUAGAAUUGAGACUCAGUUUUGGCUCCAAAGUUCAUGCUCUCCAGGACUAUGCUGUCUAUGAAAGAGAAAUCUAGAGAGCUCUGCAAAAUAAGCUCUUAUGCUUUCUCAUCACAAGGGAAAAGCUUAGGUUCUGAACAUCAUCCUCCCGAAUAGCCCCCCUUCAGCAUCACUACAUGGGGGCGUUAAUGCUCUAAGUCAGAGCGUCAGUAGUCUCAUGUUCUAGUUCUACAGCAAAUGUCAUCGUCUCUACAGAAAUAAUGCCGGGAUAGCAUAAUUUUUUGUGUUUUUCUUUAGAAGAUGGUUGCUUAAAAAAAAUCCGCCUUGUUGAUUCUCAUUCCGAUUUUCAUUUACAGACAGGUAAAUUAAUACGUUAAAUUGUUUAUCCACUUAAGGAUACUUAGGAUCUGGCUGGAGAAUUUAUUCUGAUAUUGAUUCUUCGAUUUAUGCAAUGAUGUUGACAGGAUAUAUGCAAUGUGACUGGCCCUGAGGUUAGAGAAAUAACUCAGGCAGGUUUACCACUUUCACAGCACUCAUGGUUCGACAGAGGGGACAAACACGUCAACACACCACGAAAAGCAACGCUGUUGGAUGGUUGGGUAAAACUUUGGGCAGUUGGUGGGGAGGGAGGUUGCCUAUCUCUGGAGGGAAGCCAGCCCUCACAGAGGACAGGAUCCUUGGGCUGAGCCACAAAGGAUAAGCAGGGGUCCCCUAGGUAAACACAGUGUUCCCAGGGAAGAAGGACACUGUGUCCAAAAUGCUCCCAGAGGCCAGUCACAAAGUUCUCCACGAGCCAGUCAAAGUUGGAGCUUUAUUCUGUAUCUGAUGGAAAGCCACAGUGGGCUUCCCAGGAAGAGAGUAACAUCAUUAGGUUUGUGUUUAGGAAGGACUCUGGUCUGGAGGAUAGAACAUGGGGGCAGUGCAUAGACUGCAUGCAGAGCCGUUAGGAGGUUUCUCCAACAGUGGAGAUGAACUGAGACAAUUAGGGUGGGGGAGGACUAGUGGGGUGCGGGGAAGGAGUUUUAGGGACAUUUUAGGGAUACUAUAAGUAGGACCUUUCCUUAUAUCCGUAUGUAUGAAUUAUUUGUGGCCAGCUUUCUCCCACAAAGGAUUUGGGGUGACACAGGACUUGAUAAUUAGAUGAAUGCAGAGCCUGGGGAGAGGAGAGCACCCAGCAAGAUUCCCAGUGUCUGGCUUGGAUGACUGGGUGGAUGGGGUACCAUUAAUCAAUAGGAGAAAUGACGGGGAAGGAUCCCAUGCUCGAGGGGACAUCAAUGUUUAAUCUCAAAUAUAUUGCAUUUGAAGUGUUGUGGACAAUCCAGUGGCUAUAAGGAUCUGCACCUGGUGAGAACAGUCAAGGUUGGAAACGUAGAAUUUGGAAUUAUCAGCACAGUGGGGGAGGCCGGGACUGUGAGGAUAGAUAUCCUUAAAGACUCUGAUAAAAAUAUGAAUCAUUUAGUUGUUUGGCUGUUUACUAUUUCAUAUAUCUUUCUGCAUUUUUUUUUCACCAUUCAUCAAAAGUUUCAGUAUCAUAUAGACAGCUUCAGGGAGUAAUAACAGAACUGGGCCAAGAAUACAGUGUCUCCGGGAUUUCUUUGGUCUGCCUUUGCUUGUGCCCGCAGUCCCGUGCACAUUUAAUACUCAAAGUUCUUCCCGAGGUAAAUCGAAGACUGGUGCGGAGGGAGAAGACCUUGAGAUUUCCAUCAGAUCAUUUGCAGAUUCUAGACAACAGUCCACCCCCAGCGCCUUGCACUCCGGCUCUUUGAAGAACUGGAGAGAACACGCUUCCCUGGCAGGCCACUCUCCCCUGUAAGCAGCCUUGAUAGUUAAUCAUUAGGUUUCUCUGCGAUGGAGGAAGCUUUGUGUUCUUUCGGAGAAGACAGCAGAAGGACUACUUGCUAGAUGGUAUGGGGGCAAAGCACAUGGGUUUGCCAUCUGCUCCCAGCUUUGGCAAAAUGGAGGCAUUGAAGGCAGCUGUGCCAGCACGAGGGCGAAAUUCAGUGGGAGAGACCUUAUUCCUCCAAUCUUGGGGCUUUUGCCAUGGCAACAGACAACUCCUGAAUUCAAGUGGCUUACACCAGCAAACAUUCAUUUCUCCACAAUGCGACACAAGAGCAGUGGAUUGGCCACAGCUCUGCUCUGGACUGUGGGCUGACUCUGGGUCGGCUUCUUGCAUCUUCUUGUUCUGGGACUCAGGCCGCAGAAGCAGCCCCCACCUGCAACAUGCAGCCUUGUGGCAGAGAGAAGAAGCACAAGAGGUUGAGCCAAACCAUGCAAUCUACUGCUCAGAAACGGUUUGUGUUACACCCGCUUGGAUCUCAUUGGCCAAAUCAAGUCACAUGCCCAAGCCCAGAGGAAUGUAUGAUAGGGAAGGAGGAAGUGAAUAGAUGAGCAUGGUAACACUAUCUGCCACAGUUAUUCAUUCAUUCAUCAUGUAUUUAUUGAGUGUCAGUCCUGUGCUGGAAAUUGAUCUAUAGAAAUAGAUUAGUUCCCUGCUCUCAUGGAGCUUACAAUCCAGUGUGGGACACACAUGAUGAAAGCAGCAAUUACAAUAAAGGCUGAGCUCAGACCCGGAUUUCAGACCCCUUACAAGGGGAGUGGAGGCUGUAGAGCAUAGGGUGCCCACCGUGAACUUUUAGGGAUGAAUUGCUCCAGAAUGUUACCACAUCAAGGCCUAAACGAUAGUUUUCCAUGGAUGGUGUGGGCGGUGGUGAAGACGUUGUGUUCUUGAUUCUACUCCGGUCACCUGCCUCCUGGGGCUCUUUAAGGCCUUCUUUGCUGACAUAGUCUCAGUUCCAGGGUUAAUAAACUCCACCAAUCUCUCAACAUCUUCGAAGAAGGCUAUCUCUCAGAAGACUCGUCCUUGUGGGUGCCACCUCUCCAGCCCUCUUGAAGCCGGAACCAGGAGAUAGCAGCAUGUUCUCCUUACUCUCCAGUGUGGCUUCCUAUACCGUGCUGUGACGCUCUGUGCUCCUUUGAAAGGAGAAAUUCUUGGUAACAUAUAUGUGGAUGGCCCCACUGGGGUUCAGGGAAGGCCCUGGCAGAGGGUGACUGCCACUCUUCUUCACACUCAACAAAAUAUUGUGCAAGUAUCAAGGGGUGGGCCCAUGCAGGCAGCUUGCAGAUUAUGUGCAGGGAGCGAAUGGCUUUGAAAUACGGCAGACCAAGAGUUUCCAUCAAUGACUUGUUCAAAUUUACCUUUUAUACGAGUUCUUGGCAUCAAGAACGGUGACCCUGGCCAUUGGGGUCCAAGGUCACAGGUGAAUAUAAAUACACCCAGAGGCUGUAGAGAAGUUUACACAGGGCUAGUUAAGGCUGAAAGCAAGCCAGCCAAGUGGGGAAAUAGCUCAAGUGCCCUGUCUGCAAAGCUUUACUAAGAUUUAUUUGGAAAGUUAUGGUCUCUCCCAAAAUGAAUCCACAGAUUGCCUUGCUCUGAUUACAAGAAGAACGUUGAGGUCUUUAUUAACAGUCAUCAUUGGAUUCCUUCCCUCCUUAAGGAGAUUAAUUAGGUAAAUUUCAUUACAGUAACACCAACUUUCUUGGAAAGAAACCAUCCAACUUCAGAAUGACUUUGAGUUUAUAUCUGGAAACUAAGCAAUGUUAAUGUUUACAGUUGAGAAUGUGAAACAUUAGGUUUUAAUAGAUGUUGAUGUCAUUCUUGGCAUCCUGAAAUGAUAUAAACUACUCUGCGAAGAGGUAA